AAAAGAUGGCCUCUUUCUGAGGCAUCCAUUCUCCUCCAAACAGAGCCAAGGGAAAAAGCCAGCCGAGCUGCCCUCACUGCCUUGUCCGUAUCAACCUGGGAAGAAGGAAGAAGAAAAUUGAAGACACAAGGGCUGUGUUUACAAAGACGGGGACCUUGGAAAGCUUGAUGAGUUCCAAUCAGAGAUACACAGGUGGGAAAGUGGAUCCAGGAUAAAAGUCCUGCCCAAGACAAAACUCCAAGCUGAAGACUCCAAUUAUCUAUAAAUCACUUGAAUUUCCUGCAGAGAAAGAGAAAAAGGAGGACAGAGCGAGACAGACAGAAAAACAGAGACAGAGGAUAUGCCAAGUGAAACAUUUGAUACCUGUCCUAAACCAAAAUUUUCUCAAAAGAAACCAGGAGUUACCUGAUAUCUCAAACCCAAGCUUAGAAGAAACAUUGCCAUUGGUUUUGGCUUAAUAUUGAAAUGAAAUAACUUUCUUUUAAUUGUUCCAUUCGUAUAAAAUGUGUUACAUUUUACAUCUGAGAUGAUGGAAUUAUGUAUUGAUUCAUUAAAGGUCACUGUACAUUCUCACACAGAGAAAGCUGUGA